GUGGAAGUGUGAGUGAGUCAGGGAGAGAUGGAGGUGAUUAGAAGAAAAGACUCCAACUCAAACGGCCUGUUCUCAGACAACUCGGACAAUGACCGUGAGGUAUGAACGCCAUUGUUGGAAAGGUAUGAGUGUCAUUAUUGGACCUGCACAUGUUCGACUUCUCUUUCUGUAGCACUUGGAUGUUUCUUUAGCAGCAAAUCAGUAUAUUAGAAUGAUUUCUGAAGAUCAUGUGACACUCAAGACUGGAGUAAUGAUGCUGAAAAUACAGCUGCGCAUCACAGAAAUAAAUUACAGUUUACAAUAUAUUCACAUAGAAAAUGGUUAUUUUAAAUUGUAAAAAUAUUUCACAAUUUUACUGUUUUUACUGUAUUUUUAAUAAAAUAAAUGCAGCCUUGUUGAGCCGAAGAGACUUCUUUCUAACAUAAAAACCCCAUCAACCUGACCCCAAACUUUUGAACUAUAUGUAAUUAAAAUAAUAAAUAAUAAUAAUACAUAUCCAACAUUUUUGUCUCCAUGUGUGGCUCCAGUCAUUCUUUCAAUGUAAAUGUAUGGGAUUUUUCACCUAUUUUACCAUUUUAUCAUCUGCUUUGUCUUUGCCUACACAAGCACUACAGAUUAAUCAAAGUAAAUGGUUUGAAUGAAAGGCUCCUGCAGUUUGGGAAUCCGUCUCAUUGUCUCAAUGUCUGUCAUCAGGACUCCAGUGUGAAGUGUGUCCAGUGCGGUAAGAACAGACCCAUGAUCACCAGAUACUCAGAGGGUUACGGCACAGAGGAGGAGUGUGUCCAGCCUCAGCUUCAGGGAGACAGUGACGCAGACGCAGACAUCGAGGACACGGACAGCAGGCUCCAGAUUGUGGGUUCCCUCCAGCGAAUCAGCUCCCGGAAGAGAAAGCGUCAGCGAAUCACACGGCAGGACACAACCGAGAGCGAAGACGAUGGUGGGCAGAGCCACAGGACACACCGCUGGAGUCUACGGCUCAGUCCUCAUCGCGCGCAUAACAGGACCAUACUGGAGGAGAGCAUUUCUCAGGUGCGGCCGCUGGUAAUCUGCCGCUGUGCAGCGCGAGAGACUCAAACUGUCACGGAUGACAAACCCGACAGUGGAAAAUGGACCCUGACAGUGUUUCCCGUCCCUCUUUCUCUCCCUGUGUCCUGUUAUCUGCUCAUCAUCCCUCUCUCUGUAUCCAUCAUCAUCGUUCUCAUGUCAUUCCUCCUACCGCUUACAGAUACUUGACAUUGCCUUAAAAUAUCACUGUAUAACCCUCUUCACCAUAUGAAUCAAUUCAUUUCUUUUUAGUUGUGUCUACAUGUACAGUAUAUUAGACCCUUUUAUACAUUGUGAUCUAUAGAAGCUUGAAAAAUGCUUUGGUAAAUAAUUAUGAGAUAAAAAGUCAUAAUUGUGACACACCAAGUCAUAAUUAUGAUAUAAGAAGUCAAAAUAAUUAUAUACUAAAUCACAUUUAUGAGAUAAAUGUGGGAAAUUAUGACACUAUGUCAUAAUUAUGAGAUAAAAAACGUGACACUCUAAUUAAUAAUUAUGAGACAAUUGAAAUUUUGACAGUAAGUCGUAAUUGAGAUAAAAAUGUCAAAUUAUGACAAAAAAUCGCUGUCAAAAAGUCAAAAUUAUGAUAUAGUAAAUCACAUUUAUGAGAUAAAAAGUUUAGACAUAAUAAGUCAUAAUUAGGACAUAAAAUGUCAAAAUAUGACAAAAAUCAUAACGAGAUAAAAGUAAAAAUUAUUUUAUGCUAAAUCACAUUUAUGAGAUAAAAAUGAAAAAUUAUGACACACUUAAGUCAUAAUUAGGACAUAAAAAUGUCAAAAUAUGACAAAAAAUCAUUAUGAGAUAAAAGUAAAAAUUAUGAGACAAAUAGUCAUAAUUUUGACUUUUUUAUGUCAUGAUUAUGACAUCUUGUGGUGGAAAUGUGCUCAUGUAUUAUUUGGACACCAAAGACAUCAAGUUUAUUGACAUAAAGCACAUUUGGACGCACAACGUGAUCAGGGGUGUAAAAUUACAGUGAUUUUGUACUUAAGUGAGGGAAUACUGUGCCAAAAAGUUCUUUCCACAUUUAAAAGUGUUGAAUCAUAAAGUUAUACUUUUUUAACUAAGGCGUCUCUUCACAAGAACAAAUGACUGCAAUUGUCACCAAAUUACAUUUCACAUUGAAAUGGAUUUCAUUGGCUGUAAAAAAAAAAAAAAAAAAAAAAAAAAAAAAAAAGCACCAGAGCUCAGUUUG
ensembl:lncRNA